AAAACCUGCAAAAUCAGUGUCCUCGUUAGUUUGUCGUCAUUUAAGGUUUUAACAAUGCUGAAAUGAUCAGCUGGAUAUCGGCCAACAAUAUAUUUGCUACAGGCAGCUUAAGCUUAACCAGUUUAGCUGCUUAUCCAAAAAAACUUUAUGACACUAGUAGAACUUUAAAGAAAAAAACACACAAACUUGUAAGGUUUAGUUCAAUGUUCUUGUUUUGAACAAUUACACUUCUAAGCUAAAUUUUGGUUUUCUAAUGAACUAAAACACUUAAUGGUUUUCUGACAAGGAGUAAUUGUUGAUUGAGCUCACUACUUCUAAACAGUGCAACAAAUAUACCCAUACAUACCGCAUUUUCUGAAUGCGGAUACAUGACAUUUCUUAAAACAUGUUACCAAUUUGCGAGUUUCUUGUUUCAUACACCUGAUGAUGUGUCUAUUUUUUUUUCCAGAAAUGGAAGGACAGUGAUAACGGAGGAAGCAUGGAACAUGGUUGAUUAUCCCAACCCUUAAUUGUGCUUCACUAAUACUAGCUUAAAUAUUUGUAUGAUCAAGCUACGAAGUAAUGAAAUUCUGUGGUAGAAUAUAAACAUCAUAAGAUAUGUUAUGGUGUACUAUGACCUUAAGUUUGCAGUUGAAAAGUUGGUAAUUAAUGUAGUGUCGUGCAAAUGUUGUUUCUUUAAUAUUUUCUUGCCAUCCCUUAAUAUCACUUUGGUUGCCCAUUUGUUCAUUUUUGUUUUAAAUUUUAAAUUUUUUUUUAAAAAAAAAAAGCAUUUCGACAACUGUAUAUUUUUUACAAAACCAAGACCCCGGUUUAAAAGCGAAACAAAUUUCUUGCUUCACCCUUCAAUCUAGAGUUGUCCUGUUGUUGAAAACCAUAUAUAGAAAUUUUGAGUUACAAAACAAGAUGUCACAAAGACAUUAAACCAACAAUGAAUAAACAAAAUUACAACAAAUGUUGCCUAAAAUUGUCAAAUGCCAUCACAUUAAAUGGGGAAUUUCUCAAAUCCAUGGCAUCAUCACCUCUUCCAACUCCCAUUUGAUCUCCCACAUUCAUCAUUAUCUGACUAGUCUCUAUAGAGACCAAGUUGAACCAUUUAAAAUUUGUUCUGAAGAAAUGGCCAUGUCCAAGAUGUUUACACUUUGCAUUGUUGUUGUCUUGGUGUGCUCGGUUUGCAUCGAAACAGCGAGUGCAAAAUCCAUUGGUUAUCCAGUCAUAAGGCACGACCAACCAAUUCAUUGUAGGGAGUCACGUUGCCUGCCGCCACCUUCUAGUCCUUAUGGUAGAAGUUAUGAGCCUGAGGAGAGGUGCCGAGGUGGUCGUAAAUUAAAAUAAAUCUUCACAACCACAAGAGAUUGAUGAAACUUCAAGACAUUACCAAAUGUCUACCAUUUUCAGGUGAAGAGGUCGGGUGUCCAUUCUUAUAUAUAUACUAUGUAUAUUGUUCUUUAUCUAAUCUCAUUGUGAGAUUAGUAUGAUGUAAUCACGAAAAUCCUAUUAUUCAUAACUAUUUAAUUCAUAAUUGCUUCUAAAUACAAUCAAGUUCAGCUGUCUUUUCUUAUUAUCCGCAUCAAUGACUAUUACAUGAAUUUAGCAAAUAUUGAAUUCAACACAACACAUGUAGUGAAAAACUAUUGAGUUUCGUUGUUUCUGAACCGGCGAUAUAUUUGGAAGAGCAAUGACUCUAGACUAAGAACUAGUUGAUUCUUCUUGACAAAGUUUAUAUGUCAACUCGAUCUCGUAUUGAAGUAACUAGGUCGCCAGAAGAGAGAUAACUCUAGACAAGAACUAGAUUAUUGUUGGUGACUAAGUAAUGCCAUAUUUGACCAUGUAUACGAGUAACUGGUUUAGAGCAAUUUGAACAAUUUGUAAAUCAAAUGUUAUUAUUUUUAGGAUUGGUGUGUGUACAAAAGAGCUAGCAGCUUCUUAAGAUUUUCAUUUCAUUUAUCACUUCUUAGUCUGAAGAUAAGUAUUCCCUAUCUUCGAAUCCUGUUUGAUAAUCCGCAUUGUCAUCUAGUUAUCUUAAUUGUUCCAAAGAUCAAUUGGCCUUGUCCAACACAUUUACCAUUUGUGUCAUUGCUCACUUGUUGUGCUCUGUCUGCAUUGAAAUGACAAAUACAAAAAAUUCUUAAAUAUAUGCCCAUGGAUAACGAGCAGACGUUUCGUUACAAGGGGUGAGGAUGCAUGCUUCAUCAUCGAACUCAUAUACAAUGAUUGUCAGGUGAGCUGGUCUGAAAUUAGAAUAAUUCUUCCGAAACACAAGAGAUAAUGAUCUUCAAGACAUUACCAUUAUGUACAAAUUUACUAUAUAGUUUUUAUCUAACUAUUUUGUAAAUAUGAUGUGAUUAUAACACACAAUCUUUUUUCUUCAUUCAUCAAAAUUUAAUUGGUUCCCGUGCUUGAGAUUUUAAAAUUUUACGAGUAACUGUUGAUUGAGCUCACUAGUUCUAAACAGUGCAACAAAUAUACCCAUACAUACCACAUUUUCUGAAUGAGGAUCCAUGACAUUUUUUAAAACAUGUUACCAAUUUGCGGGUUUCUUGUUUCAUCCACCUGAUGAUCAAGCUACGAAGUAAUGAAAUUCUAUGGUAGAAGAAAAACAUCAUUUUUUUAACCGGUUAGAACUUGUCUAUUGCAAUAACGGGCUAAUUGGUUUAUACAUGAGCAUAGAAAUAGGUUGCAAAUAGUUCAAAAUAGAAAAUCUUAAUGUUACCUUUUUAACAUGUAACUUUGCUACAUCAGUGGAGAUAGACAUCCCCAUCUGAAACUAGCAUAAUGGAAUUAUGUGGUCAUCUGCUAUGAUCUUGGAAAACCUGCAAAUCAGUGUCCUCGUUAGUUUGUCGCCAUUUAAGGUUUUAACAAUGCUGAAAUGAUCAGCUGGAUAUCGGCCAACAAUAUAUUUGCUACAGGCAGCUUAAGCUUAACCAGUUUAGCUGCUUAUCCAAAAAACUUUAUGACACUAGUAGAACUUUAAAGAAAAAAACACACAAACUUGUAAGGUUUAGUUCAAUGUUCUUGUUUUGAACAAUUACACUUCUAAGCUAAAAGUCAAAAUUUAAAUGCUUCCCGCGCUUGAGAUUUUCAAGUUUUACGAGUAACUCUUGAUUGAGCUCACUACUUCCAAAUAGUGCAACAAAUAUACCCAUACAUACCACAUUGUCUGAAUGGGGAUCCAUGAUAUUUCUUAAAACAUGUUACCAAUUUGCGGGUUUCUUGUUUCAUCCACCUGAUGAUGUGUGUAUUUUUCUUUUUAGAAAUGGAAGGACAGUGACGACGGAGGAAGCAUUGAACAUAGUGGAUUUUCCAAACCCUUAAUUGUGCUUCACUAAUACUAGCUUAAAUAUUUUGUAUGAUCAAGCUACGAAGUAAUGAAAUUCUAUGGUAGAAGAUAAACAUCAUAAGAUAUGUUCUAGUGUACUAUGACCUUAAGUUUGCAGUUGCAGAGAUAUGGAAAGUUGGUAAUUAAUGUAGUGACAUGGAAACGUUGUUUCUUUAAUAUCUUCUUGCUAUCCCUUAAUUUCACCUUGGUUGCCCAUAUGUUCAUUUUUGUUUUAAAUUUCUUAAAUUAAAAAAAAAUUCAUUUCAACAACUGUAUAUUUUUUACAAAACCAUGACCCCGGUUCGAAGGCGAAACAAAUUUCAAGGGUCACCCUUCAAUCCAGGGUUGUCAAGUUGUUGAAAACCAUGUAUAGAAAUUUUGAGUUAUAAAACAAGAUGUCACAAAGACAUUAAACCAACAAUAAAUAAACAAAAUUACAACAAAUAUUACCUAAAAUUGCCAAAUGGCAACACAUUAAGUAGGAAAUUUCUCAAAUCUAUGACAUCAUCACCUCCUCCAAAUCCCAUUUGAUCUCCCACAAUCCUCAUUGUAUGACUAGUCUCUAUAGAGACCAAGUUGAACCAUUUAAAAUUUGUUAUGAAGAAAUGGCCAUGUCCAAGACGUUUACAUUUUGCUUUGUUGCUGUCUUGGUGUGUUUGGUUUGCAUCGAAACAUCGACUGCAAAAUCCACUGGUUAUCUAGUCAUAUGACAUGGCCUACCGAUUCAUUGUAAGGAGUCACGUUGCCUACCGCCAUUGAUGCGAAAUAUAUAAGCACACAAAUUAAACCCUCUUUUUAUCAAUUGUAGUAAAGUAUGUAAGUAGGGAU
rnacentral:lncRNA from 1 species